GACGAACGCUGGCGGCGUGCUUAACACAUGCAAGUCGAACGGAAAGGCCCUGCUUGCAGGGUACUCGAGUGGCGAACGGGUGAGUAACACGUGGGUGAUCUGCCCUGCACUUCGGGAUAAGCCUGGGAAACUGGGUCUAAUACCGGAUAGGAGCCAUUUUUAGUGUGAUGGUUGGAAAGUUUUUUCGGUGUAGGAUGAGCUCGCGGCCUAUCAGCUUGUUGGUGGGGUAAUGGCCUACCAAGGCGGCGACGGGUAGCCGGCCUGAGAGGGUGGACGGCCACAGUGGGACUGAGAGACGGCCCAGACUCCUACGGGAGGCAGCAGCGGGGAAUAUUGCACAAUGGGCGCAAGCCGGAUGCAGCGACGCCGCGUGGGGGAUGACGGCCUUCGGGUUGGAAACUCCUUUCGCUAGGGACGAAGCUUUUUGUGACGGUACCUAGAGAAGAAGCACCGGCUAACUACGUG
rnacentral:rRNA from 1 species